GAAUAAUAUACUAGAUUACCUACUUACAAGCAGAUGAGGAUGAUGAUGGGCUCUAGCUGCAAUCUGGCUCCACUGGUCUGGUGUAGAACAGGAUCUCUGGAGGCUGUUUGUAACUGUGGUCACAAAAUCAAUGUUCUGGGAGAACGGGAAGCAGCUCCAUUUUUGGGGGGGCCCUUUACACAGCUCAAGGUCUGGGUCCCAGG